AACGAACGCUGGCGGCAGGCUUAACACAUGCAAGUCGAACGAACAUAGCAAUAUGUUAGUGGCAGACGGGUGAGUAACGCGUGGAAAUGUGCCCUUUAGUUCGGAAUAACUCAGGGAAACUUGAGCUAAUACCGGAUAAUCCCGAGAGGGGAAAGAUUUAUCGCUGAAGGAGCAGCCCGCGUCUGAUUAGCUAGUUGGUGAGGUAAUGGCUCACCAAGGCGACGAUCAGUAGCUGGUCUGAGAGGAUGAUCAGCCACACUGGGACUGAGACACGGCCCAGACUCCUACGGGAGGCAGCAGUGGGGAAUAUUGGACAAUGGGGGCAACCCUGAUCCAGCCACGCCGCGUGAGUGAUGAAGGCCUUAGGGUUGUAAAACUCUUUUAUCCGGGAAGAUAAUGACUGUACCGGAAGAAUAAGCCCCGGCUAACUUCGUGCCAGCCGCCGCAGUAA
rnacentral:rRNA from 1 species